rnacentral:misc_RNA from 1 species
UCCGAGUUGACCCCGGCAGUCUCCUGCGAGUCCCCGCCAUUACGCGCUGGCAACACAGGACAAGGGUUGCGCUCGUUGCGGGACUUAACCCAACAUCUCACGACACGAGCUGACGACAGCCAUGCACCACCUGUGAACCGGCCACAAAGGGGAAACCACAUCUCUGCAGCGGUCCGGUCCAUGUCAAGCCUUGGUAAGGUUCUUCGCGUUGCAUCGAAUUAAUCCACAUACUCCACCGCUUGUGCGGGCCCCCGUCAAUUCCUUUGAGUUUCAGUCUUGCGACCGUACUCCCCAGGCGGCGAACUUAACGCGUUAGCUUCGAUACUGCGUGCCAAAUUGCACCCAACAUCCAGUUCGCAUCGUUUAGGGCGUGGACUAC